UAACACAUUACCAUAUUUAAUAAUUUUAUUUUUUGCUACUACAAAUGAUUUUUCUUUUGAUAAGCUGUUUCCCGUUGGUUUUAAAAUAUCCUAUUUGUGAAGCAAGCAUAAGUUCCAGUGACAAAAAUGAAAACAAUCAGACUCUAUGCUAUUCAAACUUUUUCUUGGAUAAUGGAGAAUGCAAAGCAUGCCCAUCCGGAUAUUUUGGAACAAACUGUUCUACACCAUGCCACUAUCCUCACUAUGGUAAAUCGUGCGGGAAAACGUGUCAUUGUAAUGCUACAGAUUGUGAUUGUGUCUUUGGAUGU